CACAAACAAAAACAAGAGAAAGGGUCUCCGUCCGGCGGAAGGAGAAGAGCAGUUUCCAAUCCCAUCCGUCUUUCGUAUGCUUGAAUAAAAAGCCCUCUCUCCCUCUUGGUUUUUUCAACUGUCUCUCCGUGUCUAUCUCGCGUUUCUUAGCACAACACCGAUCCCCAAACACCCAAAGCGACUUUUCUCUCUUCUGCUUUCUUUUCAAAUUCACGCGUUUUUCUCUUCAUCCUUCUCCUUUCAUCUUUGAUCCGCAGGCUUCUUACUAGAUCUCCCUUCUCGAUUCCCUUUUGAUCGCUUCUCUUUCUUGGGUUUUUUUUGUUGCUGGGUUUCAAAUUUUUUAAUCAAAGAGGGAAAUUUUGACAACUUCAUCACUGAUUGCAUGAGUGUUUUCUGAAGAUUAAUGAUGUUGACCUUACCAGUUGGGCUGUGAAGUACUAUGGAACUGGUGGUUACUCGACGACAACAACAACAACAACAACUACCGCAACAAGAUGACGAUUUACAUUGGUCGCGAGGCUUCAAAGCUGUGGAAGAGAAUUUGUGCGGAGAUUACCACAGAGAUCAAUCUACUUUUCGAAAAUUGGAAAUACAUUCUUGCCGGUCUAAUUUUUCAGUAUAUACAUGGUUUGUCUGCCAGAGGAGUUCAUUAUCUACAUCGGCCAGGGCCAACAUUGCAGGACGCAGGGUUCUUUCUCCUUCCGGAGCUUGGACAAGAUAAAGGCUACAUUAGUGAGACGUUGUUCACCUGUAUCUUUCUAUCAUUUGUACUGUGGACUUUCCACCCUUUCAUCUGCAAGAGCAAAAAGAUCUACACAGUUCUGAUUUGGUGCAGGGUUCUAGCAUUUUUAGUUGCUUCUCAAUUUCUUCGGAUAAUUACAUUCUAUUCUACGCAGCUUCCAGGUCCAAAUUAUCAUUGCCGUGAGGGCUCCAAACUUGCCAGGCUGCCACGUCCAGAGAGCGUGCUUGAAGUACUCUUAAUUAAUUGUCAGUCCCUGUGUUUUACUGUAGUCCUUUCUUUGUUAUUUGUCAAGAAUUUCCUGUGCUAAUUUGAUUUGUUGAAUCUGCAGUUCCUCGGGGUAUAGUAUUUGGCUGUGGUGAUUUGAUUUUUUCAUCACACAUGAUAUUUACCCUUGUUUUUGUUCUCACAUAUCAGAAGUAUGGUACACAAAGGUAAAGUAUGGCUUUAAUCAUGUUGUUACUCCAAAAUAAAUGAAAAGAAAAUGUUGUGAUUUCUUGAGUUAAAACAAGGCCAAAUAUGAAAAAUAUCAGAAUGGUACCCCUUUUUUAAAUAAAACUUUUGCGGUGGCAAUGUGCAAGAUUUCAGAACAUUAUGUAGGUUCAGUCCUGCAGAAAGUAAAUACAUUGGUUGGAUAGGUGUUGGCUCUUGCUGUUAUAUCAGUCUGGUUCUCUAGUGUUUUCUCAAAUUUGCCCCUUUCUCUUUUUCUUUUUACGUUGCAUUUCACAAAUCGAUCAAAUACCUUUUUACUAGAUUGACAAAUUUCAAGUUGUCUUUGCAGGUUUAUAAAGCAGUUAGGUUGGUUGAUUGCUGUGGUUCAGAGCCUAUUAAUUAUAGCAUCCCGCAAACAUUAUACAGUUGAUGUUGUUGUUGCAUGGUAUGUGUGGGAUACUCGUCCAUUCAAUUAUUGUUCCAUGUGAAGACAAUUCAGAUUUUUAAUUUAGUUGUACAUUGAUGCUUCUACAGGUAUACUGUUAAUUUAGUGGUAUUCUUUAUAAGCAAGAAAUUACCAGGUGAGUAUGGGUAGACUUUUUAUUUUUCUAUUAUUAAUUUCCUUUUUUUCUUUUCUGCUUUAUUCAGCAUUUGAUUUAUAAAAUUAACUUUGAAGUUGUCAAGUGCAGAACUACCUGAUCGGACUAGUGGAGCUGCCUCUUUGUUGUUACCAUUGAGUACCAAGAACAGAGACAUCAAGAACAAAGAAGAGAAUCACAAGCUUUUGAAUGGGAACUCAGUAGACCCUGAUCGGGUAUAGUGAAGUUGAACUUUUACGAGAAACAGUUUUUCCUACAAAUAUGAGGUGUUGAUUGUCAUUUGCUAUAUUGUCCAGAGGCAGAGAACCCAAGUAAAUGGCAAGAUUCUGGAAGAUGCUAAUGGAGUCAUUGCUCAUACUAAUGGAAUGAAUGGUGUGUAGACGACGGAAACUGUAUGGCGUAACUCGUAAGUGCUGCAAGGACUGCUUUUUAUAUCUUUAAGAACCCUUAUGUGAGGUGGGCAUCUGUUCCAUUACUGGUGGUAAAUUUGAUUUGUAUUCAUGUAGAGAAAAUGGAAAUAAGGGUAGCACGUACGAACAUUUAGCAGUCCUCUUGCUUUGUAAUGGUUAAAACAAUAUAUCAUCAGCAUCAGCAUGUAUCAUGGAAUCUACAAAAUCUUGAGUCUCCCAUUCUCCUGAGCAUGCGAUGCUGUUGAAACUUUGAUUCACUUUGCUUACUAUUUAACAUGGUGAAGCCGAAGGCUAUUCCCAUUAAUCAGCCAGCUACAAUUGUUAUUCAUUCUUUUCUUCUCGGUAGAUUAAACACCAGUAAUGGAAAAUCCAAUUUGGUAAUUAAAUGCAGGGAUAUCCAAAAAAUUUC
rnacentral:misc_RNA from 1 species